rnacentral:rRNA from 1 species
UUGAACGCUGGCGGCAUGCUUUACACAUGCAAGUCGAACGGCAGCGCGGGCUUCGGCCUGGCGGCGAGUGGCGAACGGGUGAGUAAUGCAUCGGAACGUGCCCAGUAGUGGGGGAUAGCCCGGCGAAAGCCGGAUUAAUACCGCAUACGACCUGAGGGUGAAAGCGGGGGACCGAAAGGCCUCGCGCUAUUGGAGCGGCCGAUGUCGGAUUAGCUAGUUGGUGGGGUAAAGGCUUACCAAGGCGACGAUCCGUAGCUGGUCUGAGAGGACGACCAGCCACACUGGGACUGAGACACGGCCCAGACUCCUACGGGAGGCAGCAGUGGGGAAUUUUGGACAAUGGGGGCAACCCUGAUCCAGCCAUGGCGCGUGCGGGAAGAAGGCCUUCGGGUUGUAAACCGCUUUUGGUCGGGAAGAAAUCCUCUGGGCUAAUACCCCGGGGGGAUGACGGUACCGGAAGAAUAAGCACCGGCUAACUACGUG